AGCGAACGCUGGCGGCAGGCUUAACACAUGCAAGUCGAGCGGGCAUCUUCGGAUGUCAGCGGCAGACGGGUGAGUAACACGUGGGAACGUACCCUUCGGUUCGGAACAACUCUGGGAAACUGGAGCUAAUACCGGAUACGCCCUUAUGGGGAAAGGUUUACUGCCGAAGGAUCGGCCCGCGUCUGAUUAGCUAGUUGGUGGGGUAACGGCCUACCAAGGCGACGAUCAGUAGCUGGUCUGAGAGGAUGAUCAGCCACACUGGGACUGAGACACGGCCCAGACUCCUACGGGAGGCAGCAGUGGGGAAUAUUGGACAAUGGGCGCAAGCCUGAUCCAGCCAUGCCGCGUGAGUGAUGAAGGCCAUAGGGUUGUAAAGCUCUUUUGUCCGGGACGAUAAUGACGGUACCGGAAGAAUAAGCCCCGGCUAACUUCGUG
rnacentral:rRNA from 1 species